rnacentral:rRNA from 1 species
AUUGAACGCUGGCGGCAGGCUUAACGCAUGCAAGUCGAGCGGGGUGAUGGUGCUUGCACUAUCACUUAGCGGCGGACGGGUGAGUAAUGCUUAGGAAUCUGCCCAUUAGUGGGGGACAACAUCUCGAAAGGGAUGCUAAUACCGCAUACGUCCUACGGGAGAAAGCAGGGGAUCACUUGUGACCUUGCGCUAAUAGAUGAGCCUAAGUCGGAUUAGCCAGUUGGUGGGGUAAAGGCCUACCAAGGCGACGAUCUGUAGCGGGUUUGCGAGGAUGAUCCGCCACACUGGGACUGAGACACGGCCCAGACUCCUACGGGAGGCAGCAGUGGGGAAUAUUGGACGAUGGGGGGAACCCUGAUCCAGCCAUGCCGCGUGUGUGAAGAAGGCCUUAUGGUUGUAAAGCACUUUAAGCGAGGAGGAGGCUCUUUUGGUUAAUACCCAAGAUGAGUGGACGUUACUCGCAGAAUAAGCACCGGCUAACUCUGUGCCAGCCGCCGCAGUAA